UCACUUUCAACAACGGAUCUCUUGGUUCUCGCAUCGAUGAAGAACGUAGCGAAGUGCGAUAAGUAGUGUGAAUUGCAGAAUUCCGUGGAUCAUCGAAUUUUUGAACGCAAAUUGCACUCUCUGGUAUUCCGGAGAGUAUGCCUGUUUGAGGGUCAUU
rnacentral:rRNA from 1 species